AUGUCUUUGACAUUUUACAAUUCAAUUUCCACGCAGACGAAGGCAGGGCCGCAGCAAACCCGCCCCAGCCCUACCGGCCCGCCGCCUUCCCGGGGCGGGAGCCGUCCCUCCUGCCGGCUCCCUAACGCCGCUCGGAGCCCGCGGGCGCUGGGGCGGCCCCAGCCGCGGGAGAGCUGCGGCUCCGGCCGGAAACGCCUGCGCGGGAUGAGGCCGAGCGCUGCUAAACGGGGCCGUCCCGUGCAUGGGAACGUGUCUCCGAAGCCCCGGCCGCGUGGCCCUGUCCCAGGGCUGCUGCCGCUGGGCAGGGAGCCGGGAGCGGGCGGCCGGCCCGGAUGCUGCGGGAGCCGCGUUGCAAAGYGCCUCYGGCCGGGAUGGGCAGUGCCGUGCRCCUCCCGAUGCCYGCGGCGCCGAGGGGCCGGGCUGGGGAAAGGCCGGCACGGCCCGGGCGCGGGGGGUGGUCCGGGCGCGGGGCUGCGGCUCCCGCCGCUGCUGCGCUUAAUGAUGUGUCAGCGGUUCCCGUAUAAACUUCUUCUCGGGGUUUAUAACCUGCCUGCGAAGCCUCGCUCCAAGCAAGGACUUGGCAGCUGGCGGCGUGCUGCCGUGUGCCAAGUUUCCUUCCAGAGGGGGAUUAUUGCUCAGCCUGGGGUGACAAGUAUUUAUUUUACGUUUUCUCGCAUCUCCGUGCGGCUGGCGAGGGGUCGCAGCUGCAAAGCCUCCGCUCUGCUCCGGGUCCGGCGGCUGCUCCCAGCGAGAGGCCGGACAGCCCUUCCCCACUGCCAGCAGCCCCUCGUCGCCCCUCCCUGGGGCCGCUUCCCAGUGGGGGCAUCGCUCCUGCCCGGCCGACGCCGCCGAGGAGCCAGGGAAUGUGGGCCAGCGGCUCCACUCCCAGCCGGAGGCUCCCUGCCUGGCCUGGCUUCCCGCUGGAUCCGCCUGGCCCGGCCCCAAUCAGCCCUUUGUCUCCCGCAGUCCGGCCCCCUUGCCGGGGGGUUCCCAGAGGCGCGGGAUGCUCCCGCGCCGGCGGCUUCGGGGCGCCGACGGGGAUGCGGGAUGCGGGGCAGGCACUGCCAGGGCCAGGCGCUGCAGCGUUCCCGGCGGAGCGCCCGCGCAGCCCCGGUUCCCCUCGCCAGCGUGGUUUCCUCGUAG
rnacentral:lncRNA from 1 species